UAGGGAAUCUUCGGCAAUGGGGGCAACCCUGACCGAGCAACGCCGCGUGAGUGAAGAAGGUUUUCGGAUCGUAAAGCUCUGUUGUAAGAGAAGAACGUGUGUGAGAGUGGAAAGUUCACACAGUGACGGUAACUUACCAGAAAGGGACGGCUAACUACGUGCCAGCAGCCGCGGUAAUACGUAGGUCCCGAGCGUUGUCCGGAUUUAUUGGGCGUAAAGCGAGCGCAGGCGGUUUAAUAAGUCUGAAGUUAAAGGCAGUGGCUUAACCAUUGUUCGCUUUGGAAACUGUUAAACCUGAGUGCAGAAGGGGAGAGUGGAAUUCCAUGUGUAGCGGUGAAAUGCGUAGAUAUAUGGAGGAACACCGGUGGCGAAAGCGGCUCUCUGGUCUGUAACUGACGCUGAGGCUCGAAAGCGUGGGGAGCAAACAGG
rnacentral:rRNA from 1 species